rnacentral:rRNA from 1 species
GGACCCGCACAAGCGGUGGAGCAUGUGGUUUAAUUCGAUGCUACGCGAGGAACCUUACCUGGGCUUGACAUGUAGGAAGUAGGAACCUGAAAGGGGGACCACCGGUAUCCAAUCCGGAACUUACACAGGUGCUGCAUGGCUGUCGUCAGCUCGUGUCGUGAGAUGUUGGGUUAAGUCCCGCAACGAGCGCAACCAUCGUCCCUUGUUGCAAACUCACUUCGGUGAGCGCACUCUAGGGAGACUGCCAGUUUUUAACUGGAGGAAGGAGGAGAUGACGUCAAGUCAGUAUGGCCCUUACGCCCAGGGCUACACACGUGCUACAAUGGUCGGUACAAUGGGUUGCCAAAUCGCGAGAUGGAGCUAAUCUCAAAAAGCCGGCCUCAGUUCGGAUCGGAGGCUGCAAUUCGCCUCCGUGAAGCUGGAAUCGCUAGUAACCGCAGAUCAGCCAUGCUGCGGUGAAUACGUUCCCGGGUCUU